UACGUAGGGUGCAAGCGUUGUCCGGAAUUAUUGGGCGUAAAGAGCUCGUAGGUGGUUUGUCGCGUUGUUCGUGAAAACUCACAGCUUAACUGUGGGCGUGCGGGCGAUACGGGCAGACUGGAGUACUGCAGGGGAGACUGGAAUUCCUGGUGUAGCGGUGGAAUGCGCAGAUAUCAGGAGGAACACCCGUGGCGAAGGCGGCUCUCUGGGACGGUACUGACGCUGAGACGCGAAAGCGUGGGGAGCGAACAGG
rnacentral:rRNA from 1 species